UUGCCAGCGAUCUCCGUGGAAGCACUUUGUCAUUUCGCAGUUCUCUCUCUCUCUAGCUAAUAGUAGUAUUGUGUUACUUCACUCAAUCCUCACAGUAACGUUUGGAGGGAGGCGGCUGACGUUUCCUGUUUUGCAUAUGAGGAAACCGAGGGGAAAAUGCAAAGCGAUUUGCCUAAGGUCACCCAGCUCCAGCUCGUUACCAGGGAACAGAAGCUGCCGCGGCUUCUGAGCCCGGGCUUCCUGUGACCACUGCCCCCCUCCUCUCCAUCCGCAAAGUGGGGACACACAGCUUGACAUCCGGAAGAUCAGGCAGCUGACCAAUGUCACUACUCACCAUUUCUGGAGGGUUUUUCAGCGGGCGACGAUGGAGGGAUGAGAUGGGUUAGGGUGGACGACAGGUAUCUGGGCAGGAGAAUUGGGUUCAGGAGCAGUUGACCUUGGAGCUGGCCCCAUACGCCCCAUCUCUGCCCCUCGCCCACCCUGGAGGGGUGGCCUCAAUCAACAGCUCCCUUUUACCACAUAGUCAGACCCCGAGGGCCCUGAAAUUCCCAGAAGCUGGAGAUCUUCUGUUGCCUCCCUAUUUCGAAUUCUGUCUGUCAGCAAAUAUUUACGGAGCUUGUGCUAAGUGCUUUGUCACUGCCUGUGGAAUCCUGGCCAAAUGACUUAACCUCUCUGAGCCACAGUUCCCCAUUUUGCAAAAUGGGCUUGCUAGUGGCCUGCCAUUAAGCAAGAUAACCAGACUGCGGCCGGUGGGUUGUUGCUGGUGGAGACCCCUGCCCCCCUCCCCCCGUCUGCUCUUCCUCAUUCGCGUGCACGCGUUUCACGGAGAGAGCUUCAGGGCUCAGAGCCUGUUUGAACUGCUCGGGAAUGACUUGGAUUCCUGCUCCAGCUGAAUUCAAGCUCAGGUUUCUGCCCCCUCACCGUGCCAUCUUCUUGCUCCACCACACGUCAAGCUCUUUUGUCCCAAAAGCCCCGCAACACAGGGCCAUUUGGUGCAGAAGACUUUCACUGACGGUCAGAGGCAAGACAGAGCAGUUACAGCGUGAACCACAGUUGGGCACCUGCCAUCUGCCUCUGCGUGGAUUGAAUCAUGAGCCACUGCACCUGCCGACCCUCAGCACCCCCUGAAAGGAGCUCAGGGUGGAGGGCAGGAGUGAGGCCCUCUGUGCUCUGGGAGAACUGGCCGAACAGCCAGAUAGGUAGAUAUUUUCAGGAUAAGAUUUUAUGAGUCCCAUUCUCCCAUCUCUUCGUAUCUCGAAAAACACUAACAUUCUUCAGGGUGACGUCUGCUCCUCGUGACCAGCAGUGACCUUCAUGAGACCAGCAGCGACCUUCUAUAAAAAUACGUGCCUGGCUGCAUGCACCUCCCCCCUCCCCCAAAUCGCAUCUAUACGGCCCUUCCCCCUGCCCCUUUGGAGAGGUAUUUCAGAGCUCUCUGAAAUGCUGCCUCCCGGGCUAUAGUCCUCAUUCUGCCCCAAAUAAAACUUAACGCUCAACUUUGAGGUUGUGCA
rnacentral:lncRNA from 1 species